GGAGAGGUGCCGGAGUGGACGAACGGGCGCGACUGGAAAUCGCGUAGGGGCCACCAGCUUCUCGCGGGUUCGAAUCCCGCCCUCUCCGCCG
rnacentral:tRNA from 1 species